CAUUAGGAAGCUAUAGCAGCAUUAACCUUUUAAGUUAAAGAAUGAGAGUUUAGACCUCUCCUUAAUGA
rnacentral:tRNA from 1 species